rnacentral:rRNA from 1 species
AACGCUAGCUACAGGCUUAACACAUGCAAGUCGAGGGGCAGCAUGGUCUUAGCUUGCUAAGGCCGAUGGCGACCGGCGCACGGGUGAGUAACACGUAUCCAACCUGCCGUCUACUCUUGGACAGCCUUCUGAAAGGAAGAUUAAUACAAGAUGGCAUCAUGAGUUCACAUGUUCACAUGAUUAAAGGUAUUCCGGUAGACGAUGGGGAUGCGUUCCAUUAGAUAGUAGGCGGGGUAACGGCCCACCUAGUCUUCGAUGGAUAGGGGUUCUGAGAGGAAGGUCCCCCACAUUGGAACUGAGACACGGUCCAAACUCCUACGGGAGGCAGCAGUGAGGAAUAUUGGUCAAUGGGCGCAGGCCUGAACCAGCCAAGUAGCGUGAAGGAUGACUGCCCUAUGGGUUGUAAACUUCUUUUAUAAAGGAAUAAAGUCGGGUAUGUAUACCCGUUUGCAUGUACUUUAUGAAUAAGGAUCGGCUAACCCCGUGCCAGCAGCCGCGGUAAUACGGAGGAUCCGAGCGUUAUCCGGAUUUAUUGGGUUUAAAGGGAGCGUAGAUGGAUGUUUAAGUCAGUUGUGAAAGUUUGCGGCUCAACCGUAAAAUUGCAGUUGAUACUGGAUAUCUUGAGUGCAGUUGAGGCAGGCGGAAUUCGUGGUGUAGCGGUGAAAUGCUUAGAUAUCACGAAGAACUCCGAUUG